UGCGUAGGCGGCUUGGUAAGUCAGGGGUGAAAGCUUCCCGCUCAACGGGAGAACUGCCCUUGAUACUGUCAGGCUCGAAUUGGGUUGAGGCCGGCGGAAUGUGGCAUGUAGCGGUGAAAUGCUUAGAUAUGCCAUAGAACACCGAUUGCGAAGGCAGCCGGCCAAGCCUUGAUUGACGCUGAGGCACGAAAGCGUGGGGAGCGAACAGGAUUAGAUACCCUGGUAGUCCACGCCCUAAACGAUGUUUACUCGACGUCCGGCCCCUGCGGUCGUGCGUCCAAGCGAAAGCGUUAAGUAAACCACCUGGGGAGUACGUUCGCAAGAAUGAA
rnacentral:rRNA from 1 species